rnacentral:lncRNA from 1 species
ACUAAUUCAACAGAGCCAUGGUUGCCCCAACACAUUAAUUAAAGGCAUAAGCUUAAGAAAGUCACAGUAAUGUUAUAUUCAAUUGUCAAAUCGUGUUGAUAUAGAGGAGGUGCAAUGUAGAAGAAGCAUCUCCUAGUAAUUUAACUCCAAGGAAGCCAAAUGUAGUGUGUACUUGGGCAUUCCUUGUUGUAUAUGUAUAUUUAUUUCUCAGGUGCUUCUAUAUCUAUUACCAUCAAAAACGUUUUCCUCUUCCUCUUU